CCUCCCUUUGACAUUGGGUGGACAAGGAGCAGUAAGGUCCUACUUAUAUGGGUUUGUUUCUGGUAGGAUUUAUGUAAGGCAACAUCAAUUCUGUGCCGAUCAUUUCCAUGGCAGAGUGCCUGACCUCCUGGUGCAAUUCUCAACCCCUGAGCAAGAGUUUUGUCUGAGCAGCCCCAAUGGUACUGAAUCACCAGCAGCCAAACUCCUGGCCAGAGAAGAAAAAUUCAGCACCCGAAUGUUAGUCCACUUUGUCAAAUCAACUGGCAGAUUCAGUAGAGGGAAAAGAAGAAGAGUUGACCAAGUGUGAAAAAGUUAAUCUCUGACUAUUAAAAAAGGUGCCUGCAUCAUCUCAAACAACGUUGACUAAUCGGGAUGAAAGAGGUGGCCUUGCCCUUGCCUGGCAGGAAUGGGUACUUCUCCAUCAAGUGUGUGGUUGAUUGGUUGUGGCAAAAAGGCAACCAUAUUGUGACAAUGUUCUUCUUUCUCUAGUUAACAAGGAGUAUUUAGCAGGGAUGAGUAUUGAGAUAGUAAAAUACCUUUUUAACUGA